rnacentral:rRNA from 1 species
CAUGCAUGUCUAAGUAUAAGCACUUUAUACUGUGGAAACUGCGAAUGGCUCAUUAAAUCAGUUAUCGUUUAUUUGAUAGUACCUUACUACAUGGAUACCUGUGGUAAUUCUAGAGCUAAUACAUGCUAAAAACCCCGACUUCGGAAGGGGUGUAUUUAUUAGAUAAAAAACCAAUGCCCUUCGGGGCUCCUUGGUGAUUCAUAAUAACUUAACGAAUCGCAGGCCUUGCGCCGGCGAUGGUUCAUUCAAAUUUCUGCCCUAUCAACUUUCGAUGGUAGGAUAGUGGCCUACCAUGGUGGCAACGGGUAACGGGGAAUUAGGGUUCGAUUCCGGAGAGGGAGCCUGAGAAACGGCUACCACAUCCAAGGAAGGCAGCAGGCGCGCAAAUUACCCAAUCCCGACACGGGGAGGUAGUGACAAUAAAUACUGAUACGGGGCUCUUUCGGGUCUCGUAAUUGGAAUGAGUACAAUCUAAAUCCCUUAACGAGGAACAAUUGGAGGGCAAGUCUGGUGCCAGCACCCCCGGUAAUUCCAGCUCCC